GACGAACGCUGGCGGCGUGCUUAACACAUGCCAGUCGAACGGUGAAGCGCCUUCCUUUUUGGUGGGUGUGGAUGAGUGGCGAACGGGUGAGUAACACGUGAGUAACCUGCCCCCUUCUUCUGGAUAACCGCAUGAAAGUGUGGCUAAUACGGGAUAUUCUGGGUCUGUCGCAUGAUGGGUCUGGGAAAGAUAUUGUUUCGGUGGGGGAUGGGCUCGCGGCCUAUCAGCUUGUUGGUGGGGUGAUGGCCUACCAAGGCGGUGACGGGUAGCCGGCCUGAGAGGGUGGACGGUCACUGGGACUGAGACACGGCCCAGACUCCUACGGGAGGCAGCAGUGGGGAAUAUUGCACAAUGGGCGCAAGCCUGAUGCAGCGACGCCGCGUGAGGGAUGGAGGCCUUCGGGUUGUGAACCUCUUUCGCCAGUGAAGCAGGCCUGCCUCGUUUGUGGGUGGGUUGACGGUAGCUGGAUAAGAAGCGCCGGCUAACUACGUG
rnacentral:rRNA from 1 species